ACGGGUGAGUAACACGUGGGUAACCUACCUAUAAGACUGGGACAACUUCGGGAAACCGGAGCUAAUACCGGAUAAGAUAUCGAACCGCAUGGUUCGAUAGUGAAAGAUGGUUUUGCUAUCACUUAUAGAUGGACCCGCGCCGAUUAGCUAGUUGGUGAGGUAACGGCUCACCAAGGCAACGAUACGUAGCCGACCUGAGAGGGUGAUCGGCCACACUGGAACUGAGACACGGUCCAGACUCCUACGGGAGGCAGCAGCC
rnacentral:rRNA from 1 species